UACGGGGGGAGCAAGCGUUGUUCGGAUUUACUGGGCGUAAAGGGCGCGUAGGCGGCCACCGCAAGUCAAUUGUGAAAUCUCCGGGCUUAACUCGGAAAGGUCAACUGAUACUGCGGGGCUAGAGUGCGGAAGGGGCAACUGGAAUUCUCGGUGUAGCGGUGAAAUGCGUAGAUAUCUGGAGGAACACCGGUGGCGAAGGCGGCAUCCUGGACCGGCAUUGACGCUGAGGCGCGAAAGCCAGGGGAGCAAACGGG
rnacentral:rRNA from 1 species